rnacentral:rRNA from 1 species
CAGGCCUAACACAUGCAAGUCGAGCGCUCGUAGCAAUACGAGAGCGGCAGACGGGAGAGUAACACGUGGGAACGCGCCCUUCGGUUCGGAAUAACUCAGGGAAACUUGAGCUAAUACCGGAUACGCCCUAACGGGGAAAGAUUUAUACGCCGAAGGAACGGCCCGCGUCCGAUUAGCUUGUUGGUGAGGUAAUGGCGCACCAAGGCGACGAUCGGUAGCUGGGACUAAGAGGAUGAUCAGCCUACACUGGGACUGAGACACGGCCCAGACGACCUACGGGAGGCAGCAGUGGGGAAUAUUGGACAAUGGGCGCAAGCCUGAUACCAGCCAUGCCGCGUGGGUGAUGAAGGCCCUAGGGUUGUAAAGCCCUUUACAGCGGGGAAGAUAAUGACGGGAACCCGCAGAAGAAGCCCCGGCUAACUGAGUGCCAGCAGCCGCGG